rnacentral:rRNA from 1 species
GUCGAACGAUGAAGCCUUUCGGGGUGGAUUAGUGGCGAACGGGUGAGUAACACGUGGGCAAUCUGCCCUUCACUCUGGGACAAGCCCUGGAAACGGGGUCUAAUACCGGAUAAUACUUCUGCCUGCAUGGGUGGGGGUUGAAAGCUCCGGCGGUGAAGGAUGAGCCCGCGGCCUAUCAGCUUGUUGGUGGGGUAAUGGCCUACCAAGGCGACGACGGGUAGCCGGCCUGAGAGGGCGACCGGCCACACUGGGACUGAGACACGGCCCAGACACAUACGGGAGGCAGCAGUGGGGAAUAUUGCACAAUGGGCGAAAGCCUGAUGCAGCGACGCCGCGUGAGGGAUGACGGCCUUCGGGUUGUAAACCUCUUUCAGCAGGGAAGAAGCGCAAGUGACGGUACCUGCAGAAGAAGCGCCGGCUAACUACGUGCCAGCAGCCGCGGUAAUACGUAGGGCGCAAGCGUUGUCCGGAAUUAUUGGGCGUAAAGAGCUCGUAGGCGGCUUGUCACGUCGGAUGUGAAAGCCCGGGGCUUAACCCCGGGUCUGCAUUCGAUACGGGCUAGCUAGAGUGUGGUAGGGGAGAUCGGAAUUCCUGGUGUAGCGGUGAAAUGCGCAGAUAUCAGGAGGAACACCGGUGGCGAAGGCGGAUCUCUGGGCCAUUACUGACGCUGAGGAGCGAAAGCGUGGGGAGCGAACAGGAUUAGAUACCCUGGUAGUCCACGCCGUAAACGUUGGGAACUAGGUGUUGGCGACAUUCCACGUCGUCGGUGCCGCAGCUAACGCA